CGGCCUCCCAAAGUGCUAGGAUUACAGGCGUGAGCCACUGUGCCUGGCUUCCAUCCUCUUCUAUCAUUUUUUUAAAUCUCUUCUCCUAUCAUAAAAUUAAUUUCUCAUUUUUUGGUCAGGUAGAAUUGGGAAAGUCCCACACUGUCCUCCUAUUACCUUAACAUCCCAAGCUUCCUUUCCUUUUUUGGUCUUUAUGAAUAUAUUUAUAUGGACAGAAUUAAGAUAAACAAAAUUGAUUGCCCCAUUCUCUCACUUCCCCAUCUUGUCUUCCUAGACCCCACAGAGUUAAAACUUGGGAUUCCCCUGGCCCCCCCAGAACACUUGUAUAUUGUUUGUUUGAGGUUCGUGCCGCAGUAACAGACACAGUAUUUAAUUGCACAUACAGAUGUUUGCUGGGUAUAUUCACUGUAAAUUUUAUUUAAUCUGUUUUUUUGUUUGUUUGGGGGUUAUUUGGGGGGAGGUUGGUUUUGUUUUUAAAUAUAAAAAAAAAAAUCUGUCACUGG
rnacentral:lncRNA from 10 species